rnacentral:rRNA from 1 species
GACGAACGCUGGCGGCGUGCUUAACACAUGCAAGUCGAGCGGUAAGGCCCUUUCGGGGUACGACGAGCGGCGAACGGGUGAGUAACACGUGGGUGACCUGCCCUCAGCUCUGGGAUAAGCCUGGGAAACCGGGUCUAAUACUGGAUAUGACUCCAUGACGCAUGUUGUGGGGUGGAAAGCCUUGUGCGGCUGAGGAUGGGCCCGCGGCCUAUCAGCUUGUUGGUGGGGUGAGGCCUACCAAGGCGACGACGGGUAGCCGGCCUGAGAGGGCGACCGGCCACACUGGGACUGAGACACGGCCCAGACUCCUACGGGAGGCAGCAGUUGGGGAAUCUUGCGCAAAUGGGCGAAAAGCCUGACGCAGCGACGCCGCGUGAGGGAUGACGGCCUC